rnacentral:rRNA from 1 species
GACCCGUCUUGAAACACGGACCAAGGAGUCUAACAUGUACGCAAGUCWUKGGGUUGCAAAACCCACWGGCGYAAUGAAAGUGAAGGUCAAUUCAGUUGGCCGAGGUAGGAUCCCUAGUUUACUGGGGCGCACUACCGUYCCAUCGCAUCUGCUUGCCAGAGCGGUGGAGACAGAGCGUACACGUUGGGACCCGAAAGAUGGUGAACUAUGCCUGAGCAGGAUGAAGCCAGAGGAAACUCUGGUGGAGGUCCGUAGCGGUUCUGACGUGCAAAUCGAUYGUCAGAMUUGGGYAUAGGGGCGAAAGACYAAUCGAACYAUCUAGUAGCUGGUUCCUUCCGA